rnacentral:sRNA from 1 species
CGUGGUCCGGAGUCGGUGGGUUAUCUGACUCCCCCAUCGGCGCCAACUCGACCGC